GUGGGGAAUAUUGGACAAUGGGCGCAAGCCUGAUCCAGCCAUGCCGCGUGUGUGAAGAAGGCCUUCGGGUUGUAAAGCACUUUUGUUGGGAAAGAAAUCCUGUCGGCUAAUACCCGGCGGGGAUGACGGUACCCAAAGAAUAAGCACCGGCUAACUUCGUGCCAGCAGCCGCGGUAAUACGAAGGGUGCAAGCGUUACUCGGAAUUACUGGGCGUAAAGCGUGCGUAGGUGGUUCGUUAAGUCAGAUGUGAAAGCCCCGGGCUCAACCUGGGAAUUGCAUUUGAUACUGGCGGACUAGAGUGCGGUAGAGGAGAGUGGAAUUCCCGGUGUAGCAGUGAAAUGCGUAGAGAUCGGGAGGAACAUCAGUUGCGAAGGCGGCUCUCUGGACCAGCACUGACACUGAGGCACGAAAGCGUGGGGAGCAAACAGGAUUAGAAACCCCGGUAGUCC
rnacentral:rRNA from 1 species